rnacentral:rRNA from 1 species
GAUGGACGCUGGCGGCGUGCCUAAUACAUGCAAGUCGAGCGAACGGAUGAGAAGCUUGCUUCUCUGAUGUUAGCGGCGGACGGGUGAGUAACACGUGGAUAACCUACCUAUAAGACUGGGAUAACUUCGGGAAACCGGAGCUAAUACCGGAUAAUAUUUUGAACCGCAUGGUUCAAAAGUGAAAGACGGUCUUGCUGUCACUUAUAGAUGGAUCCGCGCUGCAUUAGCUAGUUGGUAAGGUAACGGCUUACCAAGGCAACGAUGCAUAGCCGACCUGAGAGGGUGAUCGGCCACACUGGAACUGAGACACGGUCCAGACUCCUACGGGAGGCAGCAGUAGGGAAUCUUCCGCAAUGGGCGAAAGCCUGACGGAGCAACGCCGCGUGAGUGAUGAAGGUCUUCGGAUCGUAAAACUCUGUUAUUAGGGAAGAACAUAUGUGUAAGUAACUGUGCACAUCUUGACGGUACCUAAUCAGAAAGCCACGGCUAACUACGUG